AUUGAACGCUGGCGGCAUGCCUAACACAUGCAAGUCGAACGGCAGCGCGGGGGCAACCCUGGCGGCGAGUGGCGGACGGGUGAGGAAUGCAUCGGAAUCUGCCCGGUUGUGGGGGAUAACUCACCGAAAGGUGAGCUAAUACCGCAUAAGACCGAGAGGUGAAAGCGGGGGACCUUCGGGCCUCGCGCGAUCGGAUGAGCCGAUGCCGGAUUAGCUAGUUGGUAGGGUAAAGGCCUACCAAGGCGACGAUCCGUAGCUGGUCUGAGAGGAUGAUCAGCCACACUGGGACUGAGACACGGCCCAGACUCCUACGGGAGGCAGCAGUGGGGAAUAUUGGACAAUGGGCGCAAGCCUGAUCCAGCAAUGCCGCGUGUGUGAAGAAGGCC
rnacentral:rRNA from 1 species